GACACGGCGGCCUGCAUGAAGUCUGUAGCUGAGCAAGGAGCCGAACUGUCCAGUGAGGAGAGGCUCUCUCCUCUUCUCUCAGUGGCUUAUACGAGUGUUGCAGGAGCCCGCAGGUCGUCUUGGAGGGUCGUCUCAAGUAUUGAGCAAAAGACGGGAGGUGCCGAGAAAAAACAGCAGAUGGCUUGAGAAUACAGAGAGAAAAUUGAGACCGAGCUAAGAGAUAUCCGCAAUGAUGUACUGUCUCUUUUGGAAAAGUUCUUGAUCCCCAAUGCUUCACAAGCAGAGGGCAAAGUCGUCUAUUUGAAAAUGAAAGGAGACUAUUUCCGUUACUGGGCUGAGGUUGCUGCUGGUGAUGACAAGAAAGGGAUUGUGGAUCCGUCACGACAAGCAUACCAAGAAGCUUUUGAAAUCAGCAAAAAGGAAAUGCAGCCAACACAUCCUACCAGAUGGGGUCUGCCCUUAACUUCUCUGUGUUCUAUUAUGAGAUUCUGAACUCCCCAGAGAAAGCCUGCUCUCUUGCAAAAACAGCUUUUGAUGAAGCCAUCGCUGAACUUGAUAUAUUAAGUGAAGAGUCAUACAAAGACAGCACGCUAAUAAUGCAGUUGCUGAGAGACAACUUGACAUUGUGGACAUCGGAUACCCAAGGAGGUGAAGCUGAAGCAGGAGAGGAGGGGAAAAUUAACCGGCCUUCCAACUUUUGUCUGCCUCAUUCUAAAAUUUACACAGUAGACCAUUUUGUCAUCCAUGCUGUCCCACAAAUAGUUUUUUGUUUACGAUUUAUGACAGGUUUAUGUUACUUCUAUUUGAGUUUCUAUAUUUCCCAUGUGGUUUUUAUGUUUAAUAUUGGGGGAGUAGAGCCAGUUAACAUUUAGGGAGUUAUCUGUUUUCAUCUUGAGGUGGCCAGUAUGGGGAUGUGGAAUUUUUAUACAAGUUUUAUACAAUACUUGGCAUACUACUUUUGGUAUAUUGUGGCUUCACAAGGGCCAGUGUUAAAACUGCUUCCAUGUCUAAGCAAAGAAAACUGCCUACAUAUUGGUUUGUCCUGGUGGGGGAUAAAAGGGACAAUUGGUUCCGGUCACAGGUGUAGUUAUUGUGGGUACUUUAAGGUUUGGAGCACUUAUAAGGCUGUGGCAGAAACAGACAUGUCAUGGAUACUACAUGUGAAACCAUGUGUACCUGUGGCACACUCAGUCUCAACGUGCACACCUUUGACUGCAGCUGCAGAAGUGUUCCUUCAGACAAAACUGUGGAUAAGGGCAGAAAUGGUUCACAUUCAAUUUUUUGUAAAGUUACCUGCUGUCUGCUUUCAUUAUUUUGCUACACUCUUUUUAUUUGUAUUUAAAUGUUUUAG